rnacentral:rRNA from 1 species
GAUGAACGCUGGCGGCGUGCCUAAUACAUGCAAGUCGAGCGAACAGACGAGGAGCUUGCUCCUCUGACGUUAGCGGCGGACGGGUGAGUAACACGUGUAUAACCUACCUAUAAGACUGGGAUAACUUCGGGAAACCGGAGCUAAUACCGGAUAAUAUCUUGAACCGCAUGGUUCAAUAGUGAAAGACGGUUUUGCUGUCACUUAUAGAUGGAUCCGCGCCGCAUUAGCUAGUUGUGAAGUUAACGGCUUACCAAGGCAACGAUGCGUAGCCGACCUGUGAGACGGGUAGCCGGCACGGGAAGGGGACCGCGGACCAGGGGACUAAGGGAGGGAGCAGUAGGGAAUGUGAGGCAGUGGGCGAGAGCCUGACGGAGCAACGGCGCGUGAGUUACGAAGGCCUUCGGAUCGUAAAACUGUGUUAUUAGGGAAGAACAGAUGUGUAAGUAAAUAUGCACGGCUUGACGGUAACGAAUCAGAAAGCCACGGCUAACUACGUG